rnacentral:rRNA from 1 species
AUUGAACGCUAGCGGGAUGCUUUACACAUGCAAGUCGAACGAGUGGAGGACGGGUGAGUAAUAUAUCGGAACGUGCCCAGUAGCGGGGGAUAACUACUCGAAAGAGUGGCUAAUACCGCACACUAUUGGAGCGGCCGAUAUCGGAUUAGCUAGUUGGGGGGGUAAAGGCUCACCAAGGACACGAUCCGUCGCUGGUUUGAGAGGACGACCAGCCACACUGGGAGUGAGACACGGCCCAGACUCCGACGUGAGGCAGCAGUGGGGAAUUUUGGACAAUGGGGUAAACCCUGAUCCAGCAAUCCCGCUUGUAUGAGAAGGCCUUCGGGUUGUAAAGUACUUUUGGCAGGGAAGCGGUAUCUGCAGAAUAAGCACCGGCUAACUACGUGCCAGCAGCCGCGGUAAUAC